rfam:Jatropha curcas cultivar GZQX0401 scaffold221_26, whole genome shotgun sequence.
AAAGCAAGUGAUGAAAUUGGAUUUAAAUUUCUCACGACGGUCGUCUGAGAGACACGUCAAGUGUCGCCGCUGAUGCAAUGAUCCAAUAUUCUGAUGUUU